rnacentral:rRNA from 1 species
GACGAACGCUGGCGGCGUGCCUAAUACAUGCAAGUCGAGCGGAGCGGCGGACGGGUGAUUAAUGCCUAGGAAUCUGCCUGGUAGUGGGGGAUAACGUCCGGAAAUGGGCGCUAAUACCGCAUACUAGCAGAUGAACCUAGGUCGGAUUAGAUAGUUGGUGGGGUAAAGUCCUACCAAGGCGACGAUCCGUAACUGGUCUGAGAGGAUGAUCAGUCACACUGGAACUGAGACACGGUCCAGACUCCUACGGGAGGCAGCAGUGGGGAAUGUUGGACAAUGGGCGAAAGCCUGAUCCAGCCAGGCCGCGUGUGUGAAGAAGGUCUGCGGGUUGUAAAGCACUUUAAGUUGGGAGGCGUUACCAACAGAAUAAGCACCGGCUAACUUCGUGCCAGCCGCCGCGGUAAUUC